rnacentral:pre_miRNA from 1 species
CUAGUACUCCCUCCGUUCCAAAUUACUUGUCUUAGAUUUGUCUAGAUACGGAGGUAUCUAGCACUAAAAUGAGUCUAGAUACAUCCAUAUUUAGACAAAUCCAAGACAAGUAAUUCGGAACGGAGGGAGUAUGUG